CCUACGGGAGGCUGCAGUAGGGAAUCUUCCACAAUGGGCGAAAGCCUGAUGGAGCAACGCCGCGUGGGUGAAGAAGGUCUUCGGAUCGUAAAACCCUGUUGUUAGAGAAGAAAGUGCGUGAGCGUAACUGUUCACGUUUCGACGGUAUCUAACCAGAAAGCCACGGCUAACUACGUGCCAGCAGCCGCGGUAAUACGUAGGUGGCAAGCGUUAUCCGGAUUUAUUUGGCGUAAAGGGAACGCAGGCGGUCUUUUAAGUCUGAUGUGAAAGCCUUCGGCUUAACCGGAGUAGUGCAUUGGAAACUGGGAGACUUGAGAGCAGAAGAGGAGAGUGGAACGCCAUGUGUAGCGGUGAAAUGCGUAGAUAGAUGGAAGAAAACUAGUGGCGACGGC
rnacentral:rRNA from 1 species